AUAACAGGCAGGAGGAACAACAGCUUUUAUCACUUGGAGGACUCUCCGAAUAUCAUUGGAUACGUAUGGCCACUAUGGAAUGAAGGCAGAGUAAUGGAGUUGAUUGAUGAGAAUAUGCA